CUUUAUGGCGGUUGUGCGUGGGAGACCUUCGGGUCUGCCGGAGUUUCUAUGGUUAUCCGGUUCGCCAACCCGCGUACAGCUGCCACCCAU
rnacentral:antisense_RNA from 1 species